rnacentral:rRNA from 1 species
UGCAAGUCGAACGGUGAUGCCCAGCUUGCUGGGCGGAUCAGUGGCGAACGGGUGAGUAACACGUGAGCAACCUGCCCCUCACUUCGGGAUAAGCCUUGGAAACGAGGUCUAAUACCGGAUACGAGCACUUACCGCAUGGUGGGUGUUGGAAAGUUUUUCGGUGGGGGAUGGGCUCGCGGCCUAUCAGCUUGUUGGUGGGGUAAUGGCCUACCAAGGCGUCGACGGGUAGCCGGCCUGAGAGGGCGACCGGCCACACUGGGACUGAGACACGGCCCAGACUCCUACGGGAGGCAGCAGUGGGGAAUAUUGCACAAUGGGCGAAAGCCUGAUGCAGCGACGCCACGUGAGGGAUGACGGCCUUCGGGUUGUAAACCUCUUUCAGCAGGGAAGAAGCGAGAGUGACGGUACCUGCAGAAGAAGCGCCGGCUAACUACGUGCCAGCAGCCGCGGUAAUACGUAGGGCGCAAGCGUUGUCCGGAAUUAUUGGGCGUAAAGAGCUCGUAGGCGGUCUGUCGCGUCUGGUGUGAAAUCCCAUGGCUCAACCAUGGGCUUGCAUCGGGUACGGGCAGACUAGAGUGCUGUAGGGGAGACUGGAAUUCCUGGUGUAGCGGUGGAAUGCGCAGAUAUCAGGAGGAACACCGAUGGCGAAGGCAGGUCUCUGGGCAGUUACUGACGCUGAGGAGCGAAAGCAU